rnacentral:rRNA from 1 species
UGGGGAAUUUUGGACAAUGGGGGCAACCCUGAUCCAGCCAUGCCGCGUGAGUGAAGAAGGCCUUCGGGUUGUAAAGCUCUUUUGGUCGGGAAGAAAAGGCCUGGGUGAAUAGCCCGGGGAUUUGACGGUACCGGCAGAAUAAGCACCGGCUAACUACGUGCCAGCAGCCGCGGUAAUACGUAGGGUGCGAGCGUUAAUCGGAAUUACUGGGCGUAAAGCGUGCGCAGGCGGUUGCUGAAGUCCGUUGUGAAAGCCCCGGGCUCAACCUGGGAAUGGCAGUGGAAACUAGGCGACUUGAAUCUGGCAGAGGGGGGUGGAAUGCCACGUGUAGCAGUGAAAUGCGUAGAGAUGUGGCGGAACACCGAUGGCGAAGGCAGCCCCCUGGGUCAAGAUUGACGCUCAGGCACGAAAGCGUGGGGAGCAAACAG